ACUGAGAAUGUAGUAGCAUCUCUUAUUGAACUACAUAAGCUUUCUAGGUUGAAUUGUGGCAGCUCUUAGUCCAGGCUUGGAGUAAGACCUGUAACAUCGGAUCUUGUUGUAGUCCCUUGAUUUGGAUCUGGACCUUCCAUCUUGUGAUCCUCUACCUCUUUGUCUUCUACCACCAAUAUCUCCAGUCACCAUCAUAAUGAGUCACUACC
rnacentral:lncRNA from 1 species